CUGCAUCCCAAAGAGCGUUGCUCCAGGCCUCCCAGUCUUCAUUAAACAUUUCUUAAAUCCUGCCCCAGCCCGCCGCGGGGCUUGUUUGCCAAAGCGCACCAGGUGCGUUGCGGCCUGAGCGGCCUGCAGUGGAGGGGCCGGGACUAUCGAAGAUUGCUUAAUCACUCAACAAGAUUUUAAAACGUGAUUGAAGACCGCCUACCUGUGAGGGCAGCGCCGACCAGGCUUUUCUUGCCCGCUAGUCCACGUAAUGCGGUCGCUAAGAAGCCCGCAGCAGGGUUUUCGCGUGACCUUCAUAGGGCCUGGCCAGGCCAGCUGAGGGGCGCGCCGGGCUGCGCUUCCAUCGAGGAACCUCCGCACAUGCAAUCACGGUUGUCUCGUCUUCUGGCAACCCUGGAUCUCCACAAACUGAUCUUCAGGGUGCUUCUCUCUUCAGCAGUUUUGCCUCAAGGGCAUGGCGCCUCAGCUAGUUUUUGGCUGUAAACAAACCGCGGCCACCGCCAGGCUACCGGGUUACCAGUACCUGUUCUUCGGAGUUUCUUAGGCAUAAACUAUAAGAACUACAAAUAAAGAUUUUCUGCUUCCUUAUUUCA
ensembl:lncRNA novel transcript